UACGGGAGGCAGCAGUGGGGAAUAUUGCACAAUGGGCGAAAGCCUGAUGCAGCUAUGCCGCGUGUAUGAAGAAGGCCUUAGGGUUGUAAAGUACUUUCAUCGGGGAGGAAAAAACAAAACUAAUAAUUUUAUUUCUUGACGUUACCCGAAAAAGAAGCACCGGCUAACUCCGUGCCAGCAGCCGCGGUAAUACGGAGGGUGCUAGCGUUAAUCAGAAUUACUGGGCGUAAAGAGCACGUAGGUGGUUUUUUUAAAGUCAGAUGUGAAAUCCCUGGGCUUAACCUAGGAACUGCAUUUUGAAACUGAAAUACUAGAGUAUCGUAGAGGGAGGUAGAAUUCUAGGUGUAGCGGUGAAAUGCGUAGAUAUCUGGAGGAAUACCUGUGGCGAAAGCGGCCUCCUAAACGAAUACUGACACUGAGGGUGCGAAAGCGUGGGGAGCAAACAGGGAUUAGAUACCCGU
rnacentral:rRNA from 1 species